rnacentral:rRNA from 1 species
AAAAAAAAAGAUGCUUUCGGGCCUAGUGGCGCACGGGUGCGUAACGCGUGGGAAUCUGCCCUUGGGUUCGGAAUAACCGUGAGAAAUUGCUGCUAAUACCGGAUGAUGUCUUCGGACCAAAGAUUUAUCGCCCCGGGAUGAGCCCGCGUAGGAUUAGCUAGUUGGUGGGGUAAUGGCCUACCAAGGCGACGAUCCUUAGCUGGUCUGAGAGGAUGAUCAGCCACACUGUGACUGAGACACGGCCCAGACUCCUACGGGAGGCAGCAGUGGGGAAUAUUGGACAAUUGGCGCAAGCCUGAUCCAGCAAGGCCGCGUGAGGGAUGAAGGGCGUAGGGUUGUAAAGCUCUUUUACCCGGGAUGAUAAUGACAGUACCGGGAGAAUAAUCUCCGGCUAACUCCUUG